rnacentral:rRNA from 1 species
UGCCAGCCGCCGCGGUAAUACGGAGGGUGCGAGCGUUAAUCGGAAUUACUGGGCGUAAAGCGCACGCAGGCGGUUUGUUAAGCUAGAUGUGAAAGCCCCGGGCUCAACCUGGGAUGGUCAUUUAGAACUGGCAGACUAGAGUUUUGGAGAGGGGAGUGGAAUUCCAGGUGUAGCGGUGAAAUGCGUAGAUAUCGGAAGGAACACCAGUGGCGAAGGCGACUUCCUGGGCCAAUACUGACGCUGAGGUGCGAAAGCGUGGGGAGCAAACAGGAUUAGAUA